UACGGAGGGUGCAAGCGUUAUCCGGAUUCACUGGGUUUAAAGGGUGCGUAGGCGGCGCGGUAAGUCGGGUGUGAAAUCUCGGGGCUUAACUCCGAAACUGCAUUCGAUACUGGCGUGCUUGAGGACUGGAGAGGAGACUGGAAUUCAUGGUGUAGCAGUGAAAUGCGUAGAGAUCAUGAGGAAGACCAGUGGCGAAGGCGGGUCUCUGGACAGUUCCUGACACUGAGACACGAAGGCCAGGGGAGCAAACGGG
rnacentral:rRNA from 1 species